rnacentral:rRNA from 1 species
GACGAACGCUGGCGGCGUGCUUAACACAUGCAAGUCGAACGAAAAGACGGAAAGAGCUUGCUCUUUUCAGAAUUGAGUGGCAAACGGGUGAGUAACACGUAAACAACCUGCCUUCAGGAUGGGGACAACAGACGGAAGCGACUGCUAAUACCGAAUAAGUUCCAAGGGCCGCAUGGCCCAUGGAAGAAAAGGUGGCCUCUACCUGUAAGCUAUCGCCUGAAGAGGGGUUUGCGUCUGAUUAGCUGGUUGGAGGGGUAACGGCCCACCAAGGCGACGAUCAGUAGCCGGUCUGAGAUGAUGAACGGCCACACUGGAACUGAGACACGGUCCAGACUCCUACGGGAGGCAGCAGUGGGGAAUCUUCCGCAAUGGGCGAAAGCCUGACGGAGCAACGCCGCGUGAGUGAUGACGGCCUUCGGGUUGUAAAACUCUGUGAUCCGGGACGAAAAGGCAGAGUGCGAAGAACAAACUGCAUUGACGGUACCGGAAAAGCAAGCCAC